rnacentral:snRNA from 1 species
GUGAGGUUUUGUGAUAUACAGU